AUGAUCCUGGCCUCGUGGAACUCGUGUGGGGUGGCUGAGAGUCUGCAAAUGCUCGCACGGUUCAGUACUGUGAGCAUAUGUGAGAAUUGCUAUGCGGGGGGGGGGGGGGCGGGGCGCGGCAAGGGUUCCCGAGUGGAGGAGCUUGGGGUACCCUGGAAGGCUUCUCUGAAGAAUUAAUGUUUGAGGGGAAACGGAGCCUCUUAAGGUGAACUGUUGAAGGGAUGAGAGUGGGGUGGGGUGGGGAAAGCACAUUUCAGGCAGGAAGGAGGGCAUGUGCAAAGGGCCUGUGGCAGAAAGGAGUGCUGGGAGUCUGAGGGACAGGAGGGCAGCCCAGUGACCGGGAUGUGAUGAGCGAUGGGAAGAGGAAGUUGGAGGUGUCGGCAGGGGCCAGGCCGGGCCGCGCCCACCAGUCCACGAGCGUGGGGUACGUUCUCCUGCUGGUCGCGGGCAGCCAUGGACGGUUUGACACAGUGAUCAUCGGAGACAGGAAACUCGAAAGCACAUGAGAUACCGCUCCACAGAAAGUAACAAGUGCUGGUGAGGAUGUGGAGAAAUUGGAACCUUGGGCACCAUUUGUGGGGACGUAAAAUGGUGCAGCCCCUGUGGAAGAACAGGAUGGCGUUUCUUCAAAAAAUUAAAAAUAGAAUUACCAUAUGAUCCAGCAUUUCCACGUCUGGGCAUAUACCCAAAAGAAUCGCAAGCAGGGUCUCAAACAGAUACAUGUACACCCAUGUUCCCUGCGGUGUUAUUCACAAUAGCCCAAAGGCAGAAACGACACAAGUGUAUCCAUCGACGCAGCACGUGGUCUAUGCGUACAAUGGAAUAUCAUUCAGCCUUAAAAAGGAAGGCAGUUUGGACACAGGCUUCGCGGUGGAUGAGCCUGGAGGACGUGGUGCGAAGGGAAAUAAACCAGGCACCAAAGGACGAAUACUGUAUGAUUCCACUCACACCAGGGACUUGGGAGGGGCAAAUUCAUAGAGACAGAAAGGAGAAUGGUGGGUGCCAAUGGCCGAGGGGAGGUGAAAUGGGGAGUCUGUGUUUAACGGGUACGGAGUUUAGCAAGAUAACAAGAGUUCUGGGGAUGGAUGGUGGUGAUGGGGGCACACGGUGCUGGAUGGACUUAAUACUACUCCCAGGCUGCACACUUAAAAAUGGCUAAGAUCGAAAAUUAAACAAAACAAAACAAAAACAGCCCUGCCCCCCCGUUAUUCUGAGUUCUCUCAAGUUGUCAAUGGCGGGCUUUCUUUUUAGUUACGUUUAUAAGAAAUAAACUAGGGGUGCCUGGGUGGCUCGGUCGGU